AUAUAUGUUAUAAAAAAAUUAAUAUUUCCAAUCUUCAUUUGUGUCAUCGCCAACAACCAUUGUUAACCCUAUCUUCUUUGGGUUAUUGUACUGUCCGCCUCCGCCUCCUUCUCCUUCUUAUCAACGGCGAUAUACAAGUCAAAAUCCGAUGUAAUACAGGGGUUUCUUAUAUUCUGUUGACGACUCCUACUCCUUCUCUGUGUUCAAUGAUUUUAUCAUCGUUGAUAUACAACUGAAGAUCCGAUUUAAUACAGAGGCAAACAAUUAACGCUGAAGACGUAUUCAAGGCGCUUGAAGAUAUCGAGUUUCCAGAAUUCAUUGCACCACUAAGAGCUUGGCGAUUUGGUUCCAGCUGUCAAAGAGUUGCAUAUGCUAACUUCUGAGGAGCUUAGAAAGUUAAUCAGGGAGUGUGAUCUUUUAAUCCAUUUUUGUUGUAAAAUUUAUAGGGCAAAUGAUAUAUUAAUGUAUAGUUUGAUGUUGGUGUGAUCUUUUUAACCCAGUUUUGUUGUGAUUUUUAGGGCAAAUGACAUAUGCAAGGAAUCGAAGAGGCAAGCACUUAACGCUGAAGACGUAUUCAAGGCGCUUGAAGAUAUCGAGAUUUCAGAAAUCAUUACGCCUAAACAGAUGGUGUUUGCUCAAAUUUGAAGAAAAAAAUGUAACCUUUUCAGCUUAAACAUAUGGUGUUUGCUUUAAAAAAAUCCAUGAACUUCUCAAGGGUUUUAAAAUGACAAAAAUGGAGAUGAAACAACAAAUCACUGGUGAACUUCUCAUAUUACCCGCUAACAGCCACCAUCCCACAGCCCACCAUACUCCUCCAUCGAAGGUGGUUAAGACUCGUGGGAAAAGUAAAAGGAAGUAUAAGACAAAAAGACAAAAUUGGAAUUUGGGCAGAAAAGUCAAGUGCAAGGUAUGGAUGCUGAGGGGGCGUUGUUGAGCAGGCCUUUUAUAUGGAACGAGGCGUUGCGUAUUGUUAAUGAAGAGGGUCUUAGAGCCUUUUCGAAAGGGAAUAUGGUUACUAUUGCUCGUCGUCUUCCUUAUACUGCUGUUAACUUCUACGCGUAUGAGCAGUACAAAAAAGCGGCUGCUACAGUCAAUACCGAGUAUAGGAAACAACAGUGGAACUACAGCUACAGAUGCAUGGUUGCACUUUGUAAGCGGCGGUGGAAUGUCAGGAAUAACAGCUGCUACCAUAACAUAUCCUUUAGAUCUCAUCCGGACACGGCUGCGUUCAGUAUUAGUCAUGUUGAAAAUGAACAGCUAAUUGAUGAUUUGGAGGAACUAGAAGAAGGGGAACUUCAAGAGAGAUUAACAGAUACCGACUGAUGGAAAUAUUCAAUUCCAAGUGAUCGACCUACUUGGAUCUUUGCUUGUAAUUGGUUUGAGUUAGUUAUGAAUUUGACGAUUCGAUAAUUUUAUACUUUAUCAAGGUUACCCAAAACUUAGACUACUAUAUACGUGCCACCCAGUUAUGUAUCCUAUUUUGUUUAUAAGAUGAUUCAAUAAUUUCAUACUU